UACAGAGGGUGCAAGCGUUGUUCGGAAUCACUGGGCGUAAAGCGCGCGUAGGCGGCUUUGCAAGUCUGGUGUGAAAGCCCUCGGCUCAACCGAGGAAGUGCGCCCGAAACUGCAGAGCUUGAGUACCGGAGAGGGUGGCGGAAUUCCCCAAGUAGAGGUGAAAUUCGUAGAUAUGGGGAGGAACACCGGUGGCGAAGGCGGCGACCUGGACGGAUACUGACGCUGAGACGCGAAAGCGUGGGGAGCAAACAGG
rnacentral:rRNA from 1 species